AAGGACGGUUACCUAUACUACCUUGUGUCUGAUGAGGGCAAUUCAAAACUACUGGAACUGAUGAGAAACCAUAUUGUUUCCUCUGCUCAGCUGAGUGUUAGCUACAUCAUCUCAAGUGCGCAGACUGUGUCCAUGGCUAAUCAAGUUCUAGC